CCCCAGGUGGCUUAGAGGGUAAAGAAACUGCCUGCAAUGCAGGAGACCUGGGUUCGAUCCCUGGGUUGGGAA
rnacentral:tRNA from 1 species